AUUGAACGCUGGCGGCAGGCCUAACACAUGCAAGUCGAGCGGCAGCGGAAAGUAGCUUGCUACUUUGCCGGCGAGCGGCGGACGGGUGAGUAAUGUCUGGGAAACUGCCUGAUGGAGGGGGAUAACUACUGGAAACGGUAGCUAAUACGGCAUAACGUCGCAAGACCAAAGAGGGGGACCUUCGGGCCUCUUGCCAUCAGAUGUGCCCAGAUGGGAUUAGCUAGUAGGUGGGGUAAUGGCUCACCUAGGCGACGAUCCCUAGCUGGUCUGAGAGGAUGACCAGCCACACUGGAACUGAGACACGGUCCAGACUCCUACGGGAGGCAGCAGUGGGGAAUAUUGCACAAUGGGCGCAAGCCUGAUGCAGCCAUGCCGCGUGUAUGAAGAAGGCCUUCGGGUUGUAAAGUACUUUCAGCGGGGAGGAAGGUGUUGAGGUUAAUAACCUCAGCAAUUGACGUUACCCGCAGAAGUAGCACCGGCUAACUCCGUGCCAGCCGCCGCAGUAA
rnacentral:rRNA from 1 species